rnacentral:rRNA from 1 species
CCUCAGAUNAGACGAGAUUACCCGCUGAAUUUAAGCAUAUCAGUAAGCGGAGGAAAAGAAACUAACAAGGAUUCCCUCAGUAACGGAGUGAAGCGGGAACAGCCCAGCACCGAAUCCCCCAGGGGAAACUCUGGCGGGGAACUGUGGUGUUUGGGACGCAUUCGGCGGUCGCUCUCUGCGCCCAAGUCCUUCUGAUCGGGGCCUUUCCCAGGAGUGGGUGUCAGCGCUUUGGCGGCGCGGGAGCUUCCGUCCCUCGAGCGUCCUCGGAGUCGGGUUGUUUGGGAAUGC